rnacentral:ncRNA from 1 species
AAUAAAUUUUAUAAUGAUUUUAAAAUUAAUUAUAUUUUAAUAUUUAUAUAAAAUAAUUUAAAAUUAAAAAUAAAAUUUAAUUUAAUAAUUAAAUUUAAAUAAUUAAUGAAAAUUAAAUUUAGGAAAAAAAAUUAAUAAAGAUUAAUUAAGUGCCAGCAAUAGCGGUUAAACUUAAUUUAUAAAUUAAUUAAAUCAAUUAAUAUUAAUUUAUAAUAUAUUUUAAAUUUAAUUAUAAUUUUAAAUUUUAAGUGAAAUUUAAUUUAUAAAUAUUUUAAAUUUUAUAUUAAUUAAUAUAAUAAAAUAAUUAAAUAAACUAGGAUUAGAUACCCUAUUAUUUAAAAUAAAUAAUUUAAUUUAUUAAUAAAUGUAAAAUCAUUAAAAUUAAAUUAUAUGGCGGCUUUUCAUUCUUAUUAGAGAAAUUUGUAGUUUAAUUUGAUAUUCCACGAUAAGAAAUACUUAAAUUAAAUUUAUAUAUUGUUGUUUAUUUCUAUAUUAAAUUAUUUUUAAUUAAUAUUUAAUUUAAAAUAAUAAAUCAAAUCAAAAUGUAGUAUAUUUAAGAAUUUAUGAAUUAUAAUAAAUUUAAUUUUAGGAUAAUUAAAUUUUAAAAUUAAUUUGAAAGAGGAUUUAAAAGUAAUUUUAAUAAAUUAAUUAAAAUGAAAAUAGUUUUGAAAAGUGUACAAAUUGCCCGUCAAUUUCAAUAAAAUGGAAUAAGUCGUAACAUAGUAAAAAUAUUGGAAAAUGUUUUUAGAUAUAA